GUGAUCGUAGCUCAAAUGGAUAGAGCAACGGAUUCCUAAUCCGGAGAAGUAGGUUCGAGUCCUGCCGAUCAUA
rnacentral:tRNA from 1 species